UUAAGUUCAGCGGGUAUUCCUACCUGAUCCGAGGUCAACCGUGAUAUGGAGUGUUUAAUGGCAAGGCACCACUAGACGUCCAAAGCGAGAAAAAUUACUGCGCUCGGAAUCAUAGUGAGUCCGCCACUGAGUUUAAGAGCCUACAGAAUGUAGAGCUCCAACACCAAGCCAGAGCUUGAGGGUUGAAAUGACGCUCGAAC
rnacentral:misc_RNA from 1 species